UACGGGGGGUGCGAGCGUUGUCCGGAAUCACUGGGCGUAAAGGGCGCGUAGGUGGUCUGAUAAGGGUGUGGUGAAAGCCCGGGGCUCAACCCCGGGUCGGCCGUGCCGACUGUUAGACUAGAGUGCUGCAGGGGCAGGCGGAAUUCCGGGUGUAGCGGUGGAAUGCGUAGAGAUCCGGAGGAAGACCGGUGGCGAAGGCGGCCUGCUGGGCAGUUACUGACACUGAGGCGCGACAGCGUGGGGAGCAAACAGG
rnacentral:rRNA from 1 species